CGGCAUUUCCUCCUGCCUUCAUUCGCCCAUCACGCCUGUGGUGAGCCUUGUUGCCUACCGGGCCUGCACCAGCCACUGGGAAUAGGACCAUUAAUAAGGCACAUGAAUAAAUCACGGCGUCUUCUAAAGAGAAGAGCAGCUCUAAGUGCUCUAAUAAAGUGGCAUGUGAGUGCAGAGGAGGGAGCAAUUAGAACUGUCUGGGAGAAGGAGGCCAAGGCGCGGAAGGCUCUUCUGAGGCCCUGACACUCCAGCUGGGCCUGAAGGGCUGGCAGACAAUGGCAGGAAGGACGGUUCCACGGAGGGCCGGCUGCCUGCACAGACAGAAGGGGCCGUAUUUCAGGAGCUGCUGGUCUGAUGGACGGACAGAGGUGGCGGGAUCCAGACCAUGAAGAGCUUCAAGUACUCAGGAAGGAGUCAAGCUUCUUGAUAGAGACAAAAGGUGUACAUGGUCAGACGUGGAAAUGACCAUUGCCAGCCAACGCCCUCCAUCCUCAUUUUUCUGCAGCCGUCACUUGGCCCCACUCUUGGUGAGGACCGGCAAAGGGGCACGAAGCUGGGACGAGAUAAGACUAUACAGCCCAUGGAAUUCUCCAGGCCAGAAUACUGGAGUGUGUAGCCUUUCCCUUCUCCAGGGGAUCUUCCCAACCCAGGAAUCGAACCCAGGUCUCCUGCAUUGCAGAUUAGAAAAUGGAGGCUUGGAGACUAAAAGAAUUCCUCUGAAAGUGGCCCUGUUCACCGGUAAUGGAGAAGCUCCAAACCCAAGUCUUUGGACUCCUGACCCAGGAUGAAAGCACUUUCUGGUAUCUUGAAGCAGGUUUGGCCAUGACACAUAGGAAAACCUGAAAAGUUGACACUGGUGAGGACAAGGAACGCAGAGAACCAGGGAGCACAAGGAGGAAGACCCCGAGGGACGCAGAGAUCACUGACAGAUGUGCCCACCACCUCUCCUAGCAGACAGAGCCCCUAGUGCCAGUGGACAGCCCCCAUCCAAUCCAGCCGGCAUGCGCUGGUGACCACAGAGCCUGCUGUGUCCACCCAAACCCCACAUGUUAAACUGCGGGCCCAGCCAGCCGGCCAGCUGCCCAGGCGGUCCUGCUUCUCCUGCCCAUCAGACAGAUUGAUCAGAAGCAGCAGCAGGACCCAGGGGAGCCCCGUCGCCCACCCUCCGUCAAUCCCAACACAGGGGCGGGCGGGAGAUGGAAUAUAUGUAAGGUCAUUUGGAGAUGGAAAAAAAAAAAAAAUCAUUCACCACACUCCCGAAAUAGCCCAUCUCCGCUUUGCAGCGAUUGCCACCUUCUUGGCUCUAAAUCAAAUUCUGCUGCGAGAAGCAAACUCAAUCUCUCUCUCCCAAGUUUUGCUUUUUAUGAGUUUGGCAAUAAAUUGGGGCGUGGAUGGAGAAAAGGCACCAAAGGUCGCUGGAAUCAGGACAUGCCUACACAGCGUGGAGGAGAUAGAGCGGCAGAGAGAGGUGAGAGGACAGCCUCGGGCGUGAAGCAGGGCUGGGGAUGGACAUGAGUAGCCCAGCAUCUCUGUGCUCAGUCAAGCACCCAGUGAAUGAAUGAGCGAAAUCCAUACCUACAACUACACAAAUUUCCUGACUUGGAAAAUGUUUUACUCAGGUUAAAGAGAAAGUGUCUUGGUUGCCGAACUGGAAUUAUGACAGUCUGGGGGGUCAGCCUGCGGUGACAGCCUCCAGGUGUCAGAGAAGCUCCCUGAGAUGAGGAGACAUUCAAGACCACUAUAUCCCCAAAAUGUGGGCGCUUCUCUGGCUCCAUCUUUGGGGCUUUUCUCUUUACACUCAGCUUUAGGGUUCUCUACCUGGGCACAAAGGACAUUUGGGGCUGGAUAUAUUUUGUGAAGCUGUCCUGGCUCCAGUAAGAUCUUUCGCAGCAUCCCUGGUCCCUGGUUACUAGAUGCCAAUAACACCCACCAGUCAAGACAACCAAAAAUGUCUCUGGUGGUGGCUUAGUCACUAAGUCAGUCAUGUCUGGCUCUUUUUGACCCCACGGAUUAUAGCCUGCCAGGCUCCUCUGUCCAUGGGAUCUCCUAGGCAAGAAUACUCGAGUGGGUUUGCCAUUCCUCCUCCAGGGGAUCCUCCCGACCCAGGGAUUGAACCCAGGUCUCCUGCAUUGCAGGCGGAUUCUUUAUCUAUUGAGCCACCAGGGAAGCCCCAAAAUGCCUCUGAUGCUGCUACAUCGCUUCAGUCGUGUCCGACUCUGUGCAACCCCAUAGACAGCAGCCCACCAGGCUCCCCCCAUCCCUGGGAUUCUCCAGGCAAGAACACUGGAGUGGGUUGCCAUUUCCUUCUCCAAUGCAUGAAAGUGAAAAGCAAAAGUGAAGUCCCUCAGUCAUGCCCGACUCUUAGUGACCCCAUGGACUGGAGCCCACCAGGCUCCUCCAUCCAUGGGAUUUUCCAGGCAAAAGUACUGGAGUGGGGUGCCAUUGCCUUCUCCGAAAAAUGCCUCUAAACAUUGCCAAAUGUCUCCUGAUUGAGGCUCACUGCAUACAUGCUCUCUGGGGUCUAAAUCACCUAAAGAUGUCCCAGCUCUCUCUCCAGCCCCAGGCCCACCUGCUAAGCUGCUUACUCAUCCCAUAGGGCCACCUGCCUCUUGGCAUUGCUCCCUGGAUGGCUGCUCAAAUGAGUAAGUCCCAUUACUAG
ensembl:lncRNA